AGAGUUUGAUCAUGGCUCAGAACGAACGCUGGCGGCAUGCCUAACACAUGCAAGUCGAACGUGAUCCAGGCUUCGGCCUGGUGAAAGUGGCAGACGGGUGAGUAACGCGUGGGAACCUGCCCUGUGGUAGGGAAUAACCGUGGGAAACUGCGGCUAAUACCCUAUGAGUCCUUCGGGAGAAAGAUUUAUCGCCAUAGGAGGGGCCCGCGUCGGAUUAGGUAGUUGGUGGGGUAACGGCCUACCAAGCCUUCGAUCCGUAGCUGGUCUGAGAGGAUGAUCAGCCACACUGGGACUGAGAUACGGCCCAGACUCCUACGGGAGGCAGCAGUGGGGAAUAUUGGACAAUGGGGGCAACCCUGAUCCAGCAAUGCCGCGUGGAUGAUGAAGGCCUUCGGGUUGUAAAGUCCUUUCGGCGGGGAAGAUGAUGACGGUACCCGCAGAAGAAGCCCCGGCUAACUUCGUGCCAGCAGCCGCGGUAAUACGAAGGGGGCUAGCGUUGUUCGGAAUUACUGGGCGUAAAGGGCGCGUAGGCUGUGCUGUAAGUCAGGCGUGAAAGCCCCGGGCUCAACCUGGGAAUUGCGCUUGAUACUGCGGCGCUGGAAGGUGGGAGAGGAUGGCGGAAUUCCCAGUGUAGAGGUGAAAUUCGUAGAUAUUGGGAAGAACACCGGUGGCGAAGGCGGCCAUCUGGCCCACAUUUGACGCUGAGGCGCGAAAGCGUGGGGACAAACAGGAUUAGAUACCCUAGUAGUCC
rnacentral:rRNA from 1 species